CUCUCUCCCGCCACUUUGUGAAGAAGGUGCCUGCUUCCCCUUCUGCCAUGAUUGUAAGUUUCCUGAGGCCUCCGAGCUAUGCAGAACUCUGACACCUUGUGUGGAAUUAAAGAAUGCAGAGAAUCAGUAUUAACUCUCGGGAUCCUGGACCUAGUGUAAAUGGAGCUCUCUACGAACUCUUCAGGAGUCCCUCAACUUACCCAUCAAAAUGUUUUACAGAUUGCAUCAUCUUGAGAUGAGCAGCUGCUUCAUCUUUGGUAAGAAGAAUGCAGUUCCAGGGGGACCACUCCAGGGAUUUAUUCCAUCUGACCAUGACCAGAUCACUGAGAUUGUCGCAAGCACUGAGGACUGACUGGGACGCCCAGAUGUUCUCUGUCAGGAGAAAUCUGACUAAUACAACAUGGAAUAUUGAGCCAGCACUUCUUGGUGACUUACAUUAAAGCCCUAGUACAUCUAAGAUUCUCUACAAGGAAAUAUACAUCUGUCAUGUCAAUAAUUCCUGAAUAAAAGUAGCAAAUAAGAAUUUAAGCUGAAAUAAACAUCAAAUUUAUUAACAAAAUAUUCAUUCUAUUGGACAAAAUAUGUAAUCAUUUUAAUUUGUGCUUUUCAAACUGUGGGUUGCUACCUCUUGGGUGAUACCAAAGUUUUCCAAAUGGAAAUCAGAAUAAGUAGACUGAGAUUGAAUAGAAAAUAUCAGAGUACAUCCAUAGGGGUAAAGAUAAACACUAUUUUGGAAACUUUUAUUUCUGAGGCAGAACAGCAUGUGUUUACAUGUACGGAUGCUGGGAAUCAGACUGCCUAGUUUUCAAUCCUGGUGCUGGUACUUAGUAGCGUAAACUUGGACAAGUUAGUUAACCACUCAGUGCUUCCCUUUCCUCACCUGCAGAAUGGAAAUAAUGCCUAUUUUGAUAGGAUUUUUGUG
rnacentral:lncRNA from 1 species